rnacentral:rRNA from 1 species
GAAUAUUGGACAAUGGGGGAAACCCUGAUCCAGCAAUGCCGCGUGUGUGAAGAAGGCCUGCGGGUUGUAAAGCACUUUCAGUAGGGAGGAAAAGCCUCGGGAUAAUACCCCGGAGUCUUGACGUAACCUACAGAAGAAGCACCGGCUAACUCCGUGCCAGCAGCCGCGGUAAUACGGAGGGUGCAAGCGUUAAUCGGAAUUACUGGGCUUAAAGCGCGCGUAGGCGGUUUGGUCAGUCGGAUGUGAAAGCCCCGGGCUUAACCUGGGAAUUGCAUUCGAUACUGCCUGACUAGAGUGUGGAAGAGGAAGGUGGAAUUCCAGGUGUAGCGGUGAAAUGCGUAGAUAUCUGGAGGAACAUCAGUGGCGAAGGCGGCCUUCUGGUCCAACACUGACGCUGAGGUGCGAAAGCGUGGGGAGCAAACAGG